AGUGUGUAUGAGUCACAACUACUAUACCAAAAAUUAUGACAACCACCAAAUAAUAAAUAAGACAAUAAAGCAACAAUAAAAGGAAUACCAGAAUUUAUGAGGUUCGACCAAUUUUGCCUACUUCCUCGGACACAGCCAAUAUUUUAUUCCACUCCAAAAAUACAAGUGAAAUAAUACUAAAGAGAGAAGAUACAAAUGCCUUAAGAAGAUAAGAAUGCAAAUGAGAGGUGUGUCUAAAUCCUAAACAUUAGGCCUCCUUUUAUCGGAAAAAAUUCCAUACCAAAUGGCUAAACCACCAAUGUAGGAUUUGCCAAAUUCAACACACAUGUUCAUAUAUGAUGAAAUUGAAAUAGAUAUUUAUUAGUCAACUCUUUUCUUUAUUCUAGGUUGACAUGAAUCUCUCAAAAUCUUAGAAGUCUGAAAUGGUAUCAACUUCGAAAACUGUUAAAUAUGCACACAUUCCACCUGGUGCCUUAGCAAUGGGACAGGGGAAAAGCUUCAGAGCUUUGGGUUCUGUAAGAAUAAAUGCUGAACAGAGAACUUCAAUUGGCGAAGGUAAAAACUACAAUGUAGUAGCUUCUGAUCAGAAUAAGCUAGCUCAGAAAGAUUGUCUCAUGCCUCCUGGUUUUGAUCCAAUAUUGGAAUGCGAUGCUUCCCUCCCUCAUGAAGAAGCGAUGCAAUAUAUUGAGAGAAGCAAAAUAAGUAUAUUAUUGUUUUAAGUUAUAAUUUUUUAUUGUUUGUUAUUGUUCUGGAUUUUUUUAUAUGUUAGACUUAAUUGAGAUUAACAAGGCCAUAUGAAUCUAAAAAAGGCAAAAAAAGUGAGAUGAAAGAACAGAUGUAAAAAUAUUGUAUUGCAGGACUCAAAGCUGGAGAAAAGUUAAGUCACUUUUUACGACAAUCGAGUUGUUGGGAAGAAUCAUGUCUUAUUUAUGAGAAACUUAGGUAAAUUAGUUCGUGAUCGAAAUAUGUGCCCAUUGCGCAUACACUCAUGGGCGGAAAUAGAAGAAUAUAAGCUGGAGCACAUGUGACAAGUUGUUACGGUAAGAAUUUAAAGUUUUAUUUUCUUGAUUUGCCUUCUUCAUUUCUUCUUUAAAAAAUGAAAAGGAAAUACUGUGAGCUUACAUCAUGCAUUGGUCGGUUGAUUUUACCAUAUUCAAAUUUCAAUUGCAAUUGUACAGUCAAGUCGGAGAUAGACGACUUUCCUCUUCUACUUGACUUAAACCAUGACUCUUCUUGAAGUAUACGCUACAAGUUAUUUUCAUUUAUAUUAUGAGUUUAAUUCUAAAUGAAUGAAAUGGUUUAUGUUAUCUCCCUUAUUUUUAAAGAAUGUUGCUUCUAGAAGCUCACUCUAUUGUACACAAAAGUAUCCCAAAAAGAUAAACAGUACAUUAUGAAGGUAGUGAUUGAGACUCUUUGAAAGAAUGCUAGUCUUUGUAAAACACACAUAAUUUGCUUUAGUGUUUCUUUUCUUUUCCUGGAUUAGUAAAAAUCUAUUAAAUUACUCCCAAGAAAUACUAGUAAAUGAAUUAUAGAAGUUUCUGUCAUUGUUUAAAGAAUUUAGUAGUAUGGAAUUUUUCACCUUCCUAAUUGAACUUCAUUAUGUUAAAAUCCGCUCUUUGGUUUCUCUCUGUUUCCUCGAUCCUAUGCCAAUGGCAGAGGGCAUGGAACAAGAGAAACAUGUGCUCUUCAUACUACCAGACUUUUUGUAGACACUUUGGUAGACUUUUGGACUGCCCUUGGCGAAGAGACACGUCAGUCUCUUCUGAAAAUGAAGGAAGAGAGCCCUUUCUUCAGUUUGCUCUCCUUACUUACUGCUAUCCCCUCUUUCCGUCACACCCAUUAAAUGUAAUUUAGACAUUAGAUGCGUGGAAUGGGCAACUGCAGUUAACUCUAGAAUUGCAAGUUUAGUUGAGGGGUUCCAUUAUUUUGAAGUCUCAUCCUAUAAAGAAUAAUGGCGUGCAGAUCAGGUGGCUUCUGGAUUUGUACUGUUCAAACUCUGGUCUUAGCACUUGGCUUCUUUAAGUUAACAGCCAUACAGACUGACUAACUGGAGCAACAACAACAACUAUGUCUCGGUCCCAAACAAGUUGGGUUGGCAAUAUGAAUCCUCAUUUCUUUCUUUAACCUCAACUCAUAUCAUCAUCAUUACCAAAAUAUAGUAAAAAUAAUGGAGUUUCACUUGAAGUUAUAAAUUGUUUUAAAAGGUGAAUGAUUAGUAUUAAAUGUAGAUAUGUUUAUAAAAGAUCAAUUUCACUUACUUGAAAAAGAUUAAUCUUGCACUUUAGUCAUUAAAAAGAUUGUGUGACUUAUUUAUUUAAAUGUGAAGGGAGGCAAAGAUGGUAACCCCCAGGUAUGGCAACUAUCUUCUUUGAGACUCGCAAGAAAGACGAUAAGCUUGUCGAACCUGAAACCAAUGAAAACUAUGCAUGUUUAUUGAUUAAUUUUAUUUUACAUGAUUUUAAUUUUUAUGUUAUAUUAUUUUAAAUUGUCUUAUAAUUUAUAGGCUAAGAUCCAAAAAUUGGUGCAAUCUGAAUCGUCUCUUACAUAUAUUGAGAUUGUAGAAAGGUGUUUCGGACCUCAACGCAAGAGUCAUAUAGUUAGAUUUCGUGGUGGGAUUACUGCUAAGGUGUUAAAAUGCGGUGACUCCUCGAAAGCUGCAUUGCUAGAGAAGUUGAAUGCUACUGAAAAAGAAAAUGAAUCGCUUAACGGACACAUGGAAGGGCUAGAGAAUAAAUGUGAAGAUCUAGAGAGUAAAUAUGCAGAACUUACAAGUGCAGUGUUUAAUCAGGCUUCAUCAUCAUCUUGAAGUGAACAAUAGAUUGAAGCAUUUAACAGAUCAAAAAUUUGAUGUCCGAAGAACCUAUUUUUGAAGAAAGUGCAUAGCAAGUUGAAGAACAAGAGAAUUUUGUUAUGCUAGGGAUGGUUUGAAGGCACUGUCUUUUGUACAUAUGCUCCAAUUUUAUUUUUUCUCUUUUAGAAAUUGUUAAAAAUGAUGUUAUACUAUUUGGAUUGCUUUCUGGUAAUGUGAUGCUUAGUUCUUUA